GGGGUUGUGGCUCAGUGGUAGAGUGCUCGCCUCACAGGUAAGAGGCCCUGGGUUCGAUCCUCAGCACCUCA
rnacentral:tRNA from 1 species